GACGAACGCUGGCGGCGUGCUUAACACAUGCAAGUCGAACGGUAAGGCCCUUCGGGGUACACGAGUGGCGAACGGGUGAGUAACACGUGGGUGAUCUGCCCUGCACUUCGGGAUAAGCCUGGGAAACUGGGUCUAAUACCGGAUAGGACCCUGGGAUGCAUGUCCUGGGGUGGAAAGCUUUUGCGGUGUGGGAUGGGCCCGCGGCCUAUCAGCUUGUUGGUGGGGUGAUGGCCUACCAAGGCGACGACGGGUAGCCGGCCUGAGAGGGUGACCGGCCAACCUGGGACUGAGAUACGGCCCAGACUCCUACAGGAGGCAGCAGUGGGGAAUAUUGCACAAUGGGCGCAAGCCUGAUGCAGCGACGCCGCGUGAGGGAUGACGGCCUUCGGGUUGUAAACCUCUUUCAGCACCGACGAAGCGCAAGUGACGGUAGGUGCAGAAGAAGGACCGGCCAACUACGUGCCAGCAGCCGCGGUAA
rnacentral:rRNA from 1 species